AAUAUAAAUAAACAAAAAGCGUAGAAGCAAAGCACCUGUUUAGCCGUUGGGACCAAUCUUCUUCAAUUUAUCCACAGAAGAGAAAGAGCAUUAGCCAAAAAUCGGCCAUGUCCCUUUUGUUUCGUUCGUUACCAACUAUUGCCCUUCGUUCUAAACCUUGUCCUCUCACUUGUCUACCUUUCUACUUUUUCAAUUUCCACAUUAACAGCCGCCCCACUUCACUUAUCAUCAACCCUCCUCCUCGUCCUCUUUCUUCUUCUUCUUCUUCUACUUAAGUUGUAGUCACUGACAACAGAAUUCCUCUAUCUCCUCCUCCUAACACUACUGAUGCGCUUCAAUGGGUAAGUAGGAAUCAAUACUGCGGUGAAUUGACAGAAAAUGAUGUGGCUAAACGGGUGGUCGCCCUUCAUCGGAUUCAUGGGGGUCUUACUUUCGUCAACCUCAGAGACCAAACUGUAAUUGUUCAGAUUACUACACUUCCUGAUGAUUUCCCUGAUGCUCAUUCUACUAUGAACGGUCUGAGACUUGAAUACGUGGUUGCCAUUGAAGGUGUUGUUCGGCCUAGGCCAGCUGAGUCUGUCAACAAAAAGAUGAAAACUGGCACGAUAGAGGUUGCUGCAGAGGAUGUUCAAGUGCUGAAUGCAGUAAGAUUGAAGUUGCCCUUCUUGGUAACGACUGCAGAUGAUGCAAAAGAUUCAGCUAAAGAGGAAAUCAGAUUGCGGACAGGAGAAAAGUUCCAGGAUAGAAGUUGCAUUUAGAAAUUUAUUGAUUUUUAUGUAGGUGUUAAAAGUUGUUUUCUGAAGAAUCUCUGUGAUGUCUAAUAACUCGCCAACCAAGACUUCCGAGCACCAUCACUAGUCAUCUUAAGAAAUAUUUGACGGACGUCUUUCUUUAGAAACAAAUUUACUGUAUAGUUGUAGAUUUCAGACGGGGGGACAACUUGCCAAAAAGUCCAUACACUUGUCAAUGGUGGGAUCCUCUACCGCAUGAGAUGUAGCAGUACUUUUGCUUGAUAGUAACUCAACUAUAGAGUGCGGUUCCUCUCUAGCAGAUUUUGUCUGCUAUUUUUUACUCGACUGCUAGAUCCUAUAUCAUCAGUUAAAAGUUGUCUUUUUAAUGAUGAUUUGGGAAACAUAGGAGAAUUCAUAUCAUGUGCGUCAUCACUUUCAUCACUUCCUUCAUCAUUGAGAUUAACGAAGUGUUCUUGGUCAAAAUCAUCAAAAUCAUUUGUUUUUUCUUUGUUCAACUCUACUUCAAUUUCAGAAAAAUAUUCUUGAUUGGCAGAGCGUGCUCUUUACCCCGUAGCAACAAUAUCUGAAAAUAAUGCAUCAUAGCGAUAACGUAUAAGAGAAAGAACCAUAUUCCUAAACCUUCUAUAUCGAUGAUCCACCUGGAAAAAAAAAACUAGUUAAGUAAAUUAAAUAAUGAGACAAAUAACAAAGAAAUAAAAAUAAUGCAAGAGACGCACCUUAAUCUUUUGGUUCCACCAAUCGUCAUCUGCAAUGAUUGUAUUUUUUGUGGCAUCCCAACCUAAACCUGUAUUCUCUCUCAUCAACUGGUUAUAAAAAGCCCAGUCCUGUUUCAUGUUAUCCCACUUAUUUUUCAACUGUGUUUUAGUAUAUUUUCUUCCCAUCCUAUUAUAAAACGCGUCACCCAAAUUUUUCCAUCCAUCUUUAUUCAAAUGAGUGUUCGGUCUAUUUCCUUUUCUAAUUUCUCUUUCACACACCUCAAUAAAAGCAAUAUGAGCAUCAUAGUCCCACUUAGCGUUACUUCGUACCAAAUUAACAUUCGAUAUGAUGGAAUAUAAAUGAUCUGAAGAUGGAAUAUAAAUAUCAAUUGCCACAUAUCUUUAACAGUUUUGUCAUGUAUGCUAUUACAAACUUGUACAAAAGAGAAGGCAGGGAUAGCAAUGCAGAAAGAGAAGGCAGAGAUAGCUGAAUAAGGGAAUAAAAAAUCCAAACAGACCAAAAACAUGAUUUCUUUGGCAGAAAAGAAAAUUUUUUGCAACAUGUGUCUCUAAACAGUCUCUCUCAAAAUUUUAAAAAAAUUCCUCCAUUGGCUUUAACAUGGUAACUUACUUUAGUUUUUAGAUUAAGAUAUAUCCCAUCUUAUUAUUUGCCUAUUCUAUUAAGAAAUAUGCUAGUAUUGUCAGUACUAUUAUCAUCACAAGAUAUGUUAGCAUCUUAAUUAGGUACUACUAUCAUCAUAAUUGUCCUAUAACUAUACCGUACAACGAUCAUCGAUCUAAAAGUAGGAAUUUGCCCACUUAGCACAUAUGUUGUUUAAGAACAUAUAUAAAUUUGUGUUUUAUUAACCCGUAUAAUAAAAGAUGAUUCAAUAAUGUAAUUUAAUAAUAAUGGUGUAUAUUAAACUCACUCAUCUUCAACUCAAAUCAAAUCCUUAAACACAUAAAUGGGGUUUCUAAAUCAUCGCUGGAGAUUAAUUUGUGUAAACUCGAGCUUGCAUCUCUAGUUGAACAACACUUCUUUCAAAAAUCCAAAAAUUGUAGAUUUGUCUAUGAAUAAAAGGAGAUGAAAAAUCAAAAAUAAAGAAAAAGACGUAAAGAUUGAGACAACUUACUACGGAAUUUCGAAGGAAAUGCAACAACUUGAGAGAAAAUCUAGAACAAAGUAUGUGUUGGUGAGAGGAGCGGCGUUGGUUUUUUGUUAGAGAAAUGAAAGCGUGGAAAUGGAAAUGUGCUGAAGGUAGAAAAAGAGAAUUAGGGCAAGGGUAAAAUUGGAAUAACAUAUAAUUGCAAGGGAUAGGAUGGUAAUUUUGUAAGUCAACUUAAACUUGUGAAAAAAUAAGCACUGCUUAUUGAUUUUGACUUAAAAAAAGUCAAAAUCAAUUUAUUUUAAGUAACUUAAAAUUUUGCCAAACAUCAAUAUAAGCAUAAAAGUACUUAUAAGUUAUUUUGACCAACUUAUAAGUACUCCCAAACACUCUAUAAGUAAAGAUCUAACAUAUUUCUGCUGCUUAAAAGGAAGAAAUGUAACGAGCAAAAUUGUCAACUACAUAGAGAUUAGGGAGAGACAUGUGAACCUGACAUAUAUAUAAAUGCGACGGCACUAUUAGAAUUUACAAGUACAUCACAUAGAGUGACAGGUCAAUAUUUCAAAUGAGGGAAUUAAAGAAAAUGUAAGAAUAUAUCAUGUAGGAUGCAAACGUGCAACGAAAAUCAUUUUUUCUACACACUUGUGUCAACAAUAUCAACAAAAUAAAAACUUUUUAUGUUUGCAAAAUUAGUAUGCACAAAGAAAUUCAAGAACACAAAAGAGGGAAAGUACGCUAUUAUCUACCAAAAUCAUACUUCUUUUAGGGUGUAUUUGGCAAGUAUUUUUGGAUAUUUUUUUUCAUGUUUGAUUAGUCAAAAUAUUUUGAAAAUAUUUUUUCUAUGCAAACAAGUUUCUUUAAAAUGUAGAAAAAGACUUUCGUAAUAAAAGUAGAGAAAACAAGUUCUAUAAAUGACAUUUCAAGAUCAUUGUCUCUUCUCGGUCAAGACCACAAGUCCCACCUCUUAACUUAUCAAAUACUAAAAAAUAAAGAAGAAACUCAUUAUUUUUCAAGAAAAUGCCAUGGCUGUCAUCUUUACUUUGUAUAUAGGACUAGAUGUCAGUAGCUCGUGCCAUAUAUGUUAUUUUUUGAAAAAAUUACUUAAAACUAAACUUUACGUUCUAAACACAAUAUCUUAAAUUCUAAAUUAAUUAUAAAUAUCUCAUUUUUACCAUUUUUCUCUCUAUAAUUCAUAUAGUAUCUUACAAAGUAUCUAAAAUCAAGGAUUUGAGGGGGACAGCGAGGGGGGAGUAAGGAGUAAAUUACCUAAUAUAUCAUUUUGACUCUAUUACCUGACUUUCUCUUUCCUCUCAUCAUUCGUUUGCAUCAGAAUAGUCCUUUCCUUUCAAUUACACUAGAAAACACAAGAUUAUUAACACCAAUUUUUCUGCGAGCAAACAAAAAUCCUUGAAAGCUAACUAAAGUUUCUAAUAUUAAUAAAGAUCCUUAUGUUUUACACCCUAUAUAGUUUCAUAAAUUCCGUCUCUCUCUGCCCCUCCUUCUUCGUUGUAUCAAUCAACAAUUUUGAUAAAGUCCUACAUAUGCUUGGUAAUGAAAGAUGUGAAGCUAUGUGUAUUGAUGAUACUAAAUAUCUUUGUCUUAUAUGUGAUAAGAUGCACAAGUAAGUUUGGAUCGAUGUUGGUGAUAUCAUUGUUGUUGGGAAAUUAAAAAAGACAAAAAAAAGAAGAAAAAAAGGUAUGUAUAUGUAUGAAAUUUGAUAUUGUCGAGAAUUUUUAUGUCAUAUCAUAUAUAUAUAUAUAUAUGUAUGAAAUUUGUUGUUACUUCAUACUAUAUAUAUAACAUUAUUAUCUAUAUGAGCCCAUAUACUUAAAUUUGUUAUGUAUAUGUGGUGAAACAAACACUGAUGGACUGUUUAUUUCAGAACAUAUACAUUAUAAAGUUAUAUCUAUAUUAUGCAUUAACAGUAUUAUACAUAGCACAGUUAUGUAUAUCAACUCAUAUACGUAAUUAUGCUACAUAUAUAUGUUGAAACAGACAUUUUUGGACUGUUUUAUAUUCAAAACAUAUAUAUUAUAGAGUUAUGUAUAUGUUAUGCAUUAACAGUGUUAUACAUAACUAUAUGACUCUAUUAGACAAGUUGAGGUGUGUUUAUUUCAGCGUAUAUACAUAACAUUGUUAUGCAUAUGAAAGAAUAUUAGACAUGAAUAUUAAGCAUUGUUUUAUAUUUUCAAAUUUCGAGAAAUUUUGUUCAAGUUUGUUGCAUAUUAAACUAAUAUUAAUUUAUAAUGUAUAUUUUUACAGGGGAUACAAUUCGAAUGUAAUUGCCAAAAUCAACCCAAAAUUUUUCAAUCUCUAAUUCUAAUCAUUGAAAUUAUUGUUGUGUUUAAAAAUUUUGAAAUUGAAAAGUUAUUACUGAAUUUAAGAAAUUCAUUAAUCACAAUUUCAUAAAUAUAGAGUUCAGAUAUAAAGUAGUAAUGUAUAAGAAUAACUAAAAUCACGAAGAGAAACUUUUUAAUUGAAAAAAAAAGGAGAGAAGGUAAUGUUUCAAAAUAGUGAGAUUUGUGUUAUUUAGCCUUAUUUUUUUGUCUCGGUUUAUGGGAUACAAAUAAAAUUUAGAUAGUCAAUCAUAUUUUUAAUAUGCUUUAGAUAUUUUACGUUGUUAACUGUUGUAAUUUAUAAUAUUGUGUAUGCAAUUUUUAAAUAAUACAUGUUACUCUUCUUGGUCAAACUUUUCUGACAUUGAUAGUCAAUUAUAUUUUUAAAAUAAUUUAAGUUGUUAAUUAUUCAUGAUAUUUAUUAUUUUUUGCUAAUUACAAUUUAUGCGGCACUGAUAUAAUUUCGAGAGUUCAAUCAAAUAUUUUAUAUCUUUAAAAAAAUUUAAGUUGUUAAUUAUUGUGAUUCAUAGUAUUUUUUUACGUAUAUUUUUAAAAAAUAUUAUAACAGAUUAAAUUUUCUUUUUAGAUAUUUUAAGUUAUUAACUAUUGUGAUUUAUCAUAAUCUUGAUGUAAUUUUUUAAUAAUGCAUGUCUUUCCUUGUCCAAACUUUUGUGACAUUGAUAGUCAAUUAUAUUUUUAACUAUUUUAAUUUAAGUGACACUAAUAUAAUUUCGGUAGUCAAUCAAAUAUUUUGUCUUUUAAAUUUUUAAGUUGUUAAUUAUUAUGAUCUAUCAUAUUUUUACGUAUUUUUUUGGAAUAUAUAAAAGAUCUUUUUUUUAGAUAUUUUAAACUAUUAAAAUUAUAAUUUAUGAUAGCUUUUAUUUAAUUUUCAAAUAAUAUAUGUUACUCUUCUUGUACAAACUUUUAUGGCAUUGAUAGUAAAUUAUAUUUUAAAAUAAUUUAAGUUUUAAAUUACAAUAAUUUAUAAUAUAUUUUCUUCUACUCCAAGUUAAGUGACACUGAUAUAGUUUUGAGAGUCAAUUAAAUGUUUUAUAUCUUUUAAAUUUUUUAAUUUAUUAAUUAUUGUGAUUUACAAAAAAAAUUUCAUAUUUUUGAAAUAAGAAACAAAUUUAAAUGGAUGAAAAUGAAGGCAUGGGAAAGGACCAAUGAAGUUGUGCCAAAUCAAGCAGAUUGACCUUUAAAUUUUUUUAAGUUAUUAAUUAUUGUGAUUUAUAGUAAUUUUUUUUUUUAUGUAUUUUCUUAAGUUAACUAUUGUAUGUAAUUUUCAAAUAAUAUACGAUCUCGUCCAAAAUUUUAUGGCAUUGAUAGUCAAGUAUACUUUUAAAAUAAAUUACAAUCAAAAAACGCCCAAAUGCCCCUAGCAAAACCCUAGCUCGAAGAAUCCCUAGAUCUGUCGCCGAUGGCCAAUCUGGCCGUUGGGCAGCCAUUGCCGGAGGCUGCUCAACCUGUUAACAUGAAAGCAUUAAGCACCAAUAAAGAAGAUAUGAAUUAUGCUGCCACCUUAAAACCGACUAAGAUAAAUCACAUACCUUUACCCCUAAAACCUCUAUAACGUACCUGCAUGGUGAACCUAGAGUGAUUUGGGGGGGAGACGAGAUUUCCCAAAUGACCGUUAAUGGAGAAUUGGAGUACGCAGUUGUAGGAAAAUUCUCAUAUGGUUGGCUGGAUAUAAUACAAGAAUUGCGUACUUUGAUUUCAAAACAAUGUGGAUUAAAAGGUGAUGUUAAUAUUGGUAGAUUAUGCAAUAGAUAUGUGCUUAUUCGAGCUUCGAGAUUGGAGGAUUGCAUGAGCUUGCUUUCCAAACCAAUUUUUUACAUUGCUCAUAACAAUUAGAAUUCUCCAAUGCGUACUUUUAAGUGGGAUCCUUUAUUCGAUCCAGAAGAAGAAACAUCAAUGGUUGUUGCAUGGAUUUCCUUGCCUACGUUACCACCUAAUUUCUUCGGGAAGGAGAUAAUUUUUUCACUAGCUGCGACUGUAGGAAAACCAUUACAAGUUGAUAUGGCAACAUGUAACAAAACAAGGCCUAGCUGUGCAAGAGUCAAGGUCGAAGUGGAUUUAUUGGGUGAAUUUCCAAAGAGAAUCAAUAUUGGAAUUAAGAAGAAGAACAGAGAAAUUGUGGCAAAGUGGAUACAAAUUAAAUUUGAUUAUUUACCAAAAUAUUGCAAGAACUGCAAGUCGCAAGGACAUAAUGAGAAGGAAUGUUUUGUGUUACAUCCUGAGUUAUAUCCAAAAGAGGAAGAAUCGGAAAAGAAGAAAAGAGUAGACAAGAUAGUACAAGAGAAAAAUACAGAGAAAGAAGCAAGGAAAAGGGAUCAAGAGGAACAUGGACAGAACAGAGAUAAUAACUUUCGUGAAAAAGACAAAGGAAUGGGGUACGAAGGGGAAGAUAUCAUCGGAGAGAAGGUGCAACAAUGAGAUGGAAUCAUAAAGACAAAGACGAAGCAGCAGGUAUGAUAACUAAUAACAAGUUUGAGCCCUUGGACAAUGAAAGUCAGAAGGAGGAA